rnacentral:tRNA from 1 species
UCCGGGGUAGCUCAAUUCGGCAGAGCAUCCGGCUGUUAACCGGAGGGUUGCGGGUUCGAGUCCCGCCCCCGGAG